GAUGAACGCUGGCGGCGUGCCUAAUACAUGCAAGUCGAGCGAACGGACGAGAAGCUUGCUUCUCUGAUGUUAGCGGCGGACGGGUGAGUAACACGUGGAUAACCUACCUAUAAGACUGGGAUAACUUCGGGAAACCGGAGCUAAUACCGGAUAAUAUUUUGAACCGCAUGGUUCAACAGUAAAAGACGGUCUUGCUGUCACUUAUAGAUGGAUCCGCGCUGCAUUAGCUAGUUGGUAAGGUAACGGCUUACCAAGGCAACGAUGCAUAGCCGACCUGAGAGGGGAAUCGGCCACACUGGAACUGAGACACGGUCCAGACUCCUACGGGAGGCAGCAGUAGGGAAUCUUCCGCAAUGGGCGAAAGCCUGACGGAGCAACGCCGCGUGAGUGAUGAAGGUCUUCGGAUCGUAAAACUCUGUUAUUAGGAAAGAACAUAUGUGUAAGUAACUGUGCACAUCUUACGGUACCUAAUCAGAAAGCCACGGCUAACUACGUG
rnacentral:rRNA from 1 species